UACGUAGGGGGCAAGCGUUGUCCGGAUUUACUGGGCGUAAAGAGCGCGUAGGCGGAACGUUAAGUCCGAUCUGAAAGCCCCCGGCUCAACCGGAGAGGGUGGUUGGAAACUGGCGUUCUUGAGGACGAGAGAGGGGAGUGGAAUUCCUGGUGUAGCGGUGAAAUGCGUAGAUAUCGAGAGGAACACCUGCGGCGAAGGCGGGUUGCUGGGCUGACACUGACGCUGAGGCGCGAAAGCUAGGGGAGCGAACGGG
rnacentral:rRNA from 1 species